GGGUGAUUAGCUCAGUUGGUAGAGCAGCUGACUCUUAAUCAGCGGGUCGAAGGUUCGAGUCCUUCAUCACCCA
rfam:Hyphomicrobium sp. MC1 chromosome, complete genome.